AAUGAACGUUGGCGGCAUGGAUUAGGCAUGCAAGUCGAGCGAGAAGGGUUUUGAAGCUUGCUUUAGAACCCGGACAGCGGCGAAAGGGAGAGUAACGCGUAGUUAUGUGCCCUAGGGUCCGGAAUAGCCACGGGAAACUGUGGGUAAUGCCGGAUAAUAUCCCCGGAUCAAAGGUGUGAUUCAGCCCUAGGAGCAGACUGCGUCCUACUAGCUAGUUGGUGGAGUAAUGGCCCACCAAGGCAACGAUGGGUAGCGGGUGUGAGAGCAUGACCCGGCUCACGUGGACUGAGACACUGCCCAGACACCUACGGGUGGCUGCAGUCGAGAAUCUUCGGCAAUGGGCGAAAGCCUGACCGAGCGAUGCCGCGUGCUGGAUGAAGGCCCUCGGGUUGUAAACCGCUGUCGUAGGGGAGGAAGAUUUCGUGAAGAGCGAAAUUUGACCUAUCCUAGGAGGAAGUACGGGCUAAGUUCGUGCCAGCAGCCGCAGUAA
rnacentral:rRNA from 1 species